rnacentral:rRNA from 1 species
GAUGAACGCUAGCGGCAGGCCUAAUACAUGCAAGUCGAACGAGAUUACGAGGCUUGCUUCUUAUGAAAGUGGCGCACGGGUGCGUAACGCGUAUGCAACCUACCUUAAUCAGGUGGAUAGCCCGAAUAAAUUCGGAUUAAGUCCGCAUAAAAACACAGGAUAGCAUUAUCCACUGUUCAAAUAUUUAUAUGUUUAUGAUUGGCAUGCGUGUCAUUAGCUUGUUGGCGGGGUAACGGCCCACCAAGGCGACGAUGACUAGGGGAUCUGAGAGGAUGACCCCCGACAAUGGAAAUGAGAAACGGACCAGACUACUACGGGAGGCAGCAGAAAGGAAUAUUGGGCAAUGGAGGGAAAUAUGAAACAGCCAUGCCGCGUGCAGGAAGACAGCCCUCGGGGUAGUAAACUGCUUUUAGUCGGGAAUAAAACUUUCUACGGGUAGGAAGAUGAAGGUACCGAAGGAAUAAGGAUCGGCUAACUACGUG